AAUCGGCUAGACUUGUUGAAGCUUGUACUUUAAUUGAUUUCAAUUAUAAAAUGUUAUUAAUACUUAAAGGGUUUUAGGUAAAAUUAGAAUUCUUUUAAAGCAAAUUUUAUAAUUUUAAAUUUUGGCGAACGAAUUAGAUUAGUACCUAAUUAGACAAAAAUUAAAAGAGCAGGAGUAAAGUUGAAUUUAAACUGUAAGGAUAUUGGCAGACUUUCUAAAUUAUCUUUGGAGGAUGAGUGAUAAUUGAGAACCCUCAUUAACUACUUAAUCUUUAGACUCAUGUAUGAUCGUUUAUUUUAUUCUUAAGGAUUAUAAUUAUAAAUUUUUAAUUUAUUAAAAUAGAUAUAUACCUGGUUCAUGAUAAAAGUAAUAUUUGUCCUACAAUAUUGUAUAAUUUGGAUAAUAGGUGUAGUUACCUAUUUGAAAUUGUAAAAGACAGUAAAAGAUUUUUAAUGUAUCUUUGAAGAGUAUCUAGAAGUGGUACAAA
rnacentral:rRNA from 1 species